AAUUGCCCAGAAUAUCGUCGGGGUCCAGCUACCAACCCUGGAUGACAUCUUCACACCCCGCUGUCUGAGGAAGUCACACAGCAUCCUGAGAGACUCUUCCCAUCCUGCUUAUAACUUUUUUGAACUGUUGCCGUCUGGCAGAAGAUAUAGAACAAUUAAGACUCGGACCACACGUUUUCUGAAUAGUUUUUAUCCCAGAGCUAUAAUUGCACUUAAUAAUGAGCUUAAAGACCNNNNNNNNNNNNNNNNNNNNNNNNNNNNNNNNNNNNNNNNNNNNNNNNNNNNNNNNNNNNNUGGUAAUUUUACACAAAGAGCCUCUUUAAGAUCACAAAAUUUCUCAUUCCUGGUUUACUCCAAGUUACACAACAAAUCUCCACUAUGGGAACAAAGCAUACCAGAAGACUUUGGCCUUUGUAACUUUAAGUUCUUUUGCUACUGAGAAGCAAAAAUGAAUGAAUGAAUGAAUAAAUAAAUAAAUAAAUAAAUAACUGGCAGCCUUCCCAAAAGUUUCAGUUUUGGAUUACAUUUUCAGAAUAUCCAGCAAAACUAAAAGAAAAAGAAAAAUUAAAGAGGACAAAAACAUUGUGGUUAAUUGCUAUAUUUAAAUACUUUAAAAUAUUUAAAUAUUUUUUAACUGACUGCUGUAUUUUAAUGUGAGCUUUCCUGGGCAAGUCCUCUUCUUCAGACAGUUUCCAAAAUGUGGUUGAUUCCAAGAUUUGUAUCCAAACACUCUGGCUACAUGACUGUUUGUUUCAGCACACAAGAUUUUUAUGGAAAGCCUUACCCAUCCUUGCUGCCAUCUACGCCAGACUGUGGCCAGAUACACCUGCUCAGUAGGAACAGUCCUGAUGCUAGAACAGAUGGAAAAACAGACUGACCAUGCCAAGACAUCAAGGAGAAAACUGGAGCUGAGCUCCCAAACGCAUACAAGGUAUGGGCCAAGUAGAAGGAGGAAUCUUUAUUAUGGCAUGACAGUAGUCAGGCAAUAUAUUUUGAGUAAGCACAGCAAACAGGAUUCUACAAUGAUGGAUGAUGCCCCAAACAGACAAUUAUAACUAUGAAACUGGACCUCAGAUCAGUACCAAAUAUGGCACAGCUGUGGCAGAAGGACUGCUUUUGCUCUGUGAUAAAUUUGGAUGUGUUUGGGCAAAGGGUUUUCGAGUUGUGAUUUUUAAAGCAGUAACACUGUUUUACCCCCAUAAAGACACAAGCGACCAUUUCGUCAGCUAAUAAAAAAGAGAUGAAAAGUGUAGAUAAGACA
rnacentral:lncRNA from 1 species